rnacentral:rRNA from 1 species
CCUACGGGUGGCUGCAGUGGGGGAUAUUGCACAAUGGGGGGAACCCUGAUGCAGCGACGCCGCGUGGGUGAAGGAGCGUUUCGGCGCGUAAAGCCCCAUCGGUAGGGAAGAAGAUGACGGUACCUGUCCAAGAAGCCCCGGCUAACUACGUGCAAGCAGCCGCGGUAAUACGGCGGGGGCCAGCGUUAUCCGGAUUUACUGGGUGUAAAGGGGGCCCAGACGGCAAUGCAAGCCAGGUGUGAAAGCCCUGGGCCCAACCCCGGGACUGCUCUUGGAACUGCAUGGCUGGAGUACAGGAGGGGCAGGCGGAAUUCGUAGUGUAGCGGUGAAAUGCGUAGAUAUUACGAGGAACACCGGUGGCGAAGGCAGCCUGCUGGACUGUGACUGACGUUGAGGCCCGAAGGCGUGGGGAGCGAACAGGAUUAGAUACCCGUGUAGUC